rnacentral:rRNA from 1 species
GAUGAACGCUGGCGGCGUGCCUAAUACAUGCAAGUCGAGCGAACAGACGCGGAGCUUGCUCCUCUGACGUUAGCGGCGGACGGGUGAGUAACACGUGGAUAACCUACCUAUAAGACUGGGAUAACUUCGGGAAACCGGCGCUAAUACCGGAUAAUAUAUUGAACCGCAUGGUUCAAUAGUGAAAGACGGUUUUGCUGUCACUUAUAGAUGGAUCCGCGCCGCAUUAGCUAGUUGGUAAGGUAACGGCUUACCAAGGCAACGAUGUGUAGCCGACCUGAGAGGGUGAUCGGCCACACGGGAACUGAGCCGCGGUCCAGACUCCUACGGGAGGCAGCAGUAGGGAAGCUUCCGCAAUGGGCGAAAGCCUUACGGAGCAACGCCGCGUGAGUUAUGAAGGUCUUCGGAUCGUAAAACUCUGUUAUUAGGGAAGAACAAAUGUGUAAGUAACUAUGCACGGCUUGACGGUACCUAAUCAGAAAGCCACGGCUAACUACGUG